CGUAGGCGGCCUUCUAAGUCGGACGUGAAAUCCCUCGGCUUAACCGAGGAACUGCGUCCGAUACUGAAAGGCUUGAAUCCGGGAGAGGGAUGUGGAAUUCCAGGUGUAGCGGUGAAAUGCGUAGAUAUCUGGAGGAACACCGGUGGCGAAGGCGGCAUCCUGGACCGGCAUUGACGCUGAGGCGCGAAAGCUAGGGGAGCAAAACGG
rnacentral:rRNA from 1 species